rnacentral:rRNA from 1 species
AACGAACGCUGGCGGCAUGCCUAACACAUGCAAGUCGAACGAGACCUUCGGGUCUAGUGGCGCACGGGUGCGUAACGCGUGGGAACCUGCACUUAGGUUCGGAAUAACUCCCCGAAAGGGGUGCUAAUACCGGAUAAUGUCUUCGGACCAAAGAUUUAUCGCCUUUGGAUGGGCCCGCGUUGGAUUAGCUAGUUGGUAGGGUAAAAGCCUACCAAGGCGACGAUCCAUAGCUGGUCUGAGAGGAUGAUCAGCCACACUGGGACUGAGACACGGCCCAGACUCCUACGGGAGGCAGCAGUGGGUAAUAUUGGACAGUGGGCGAAAGCCUGAUCCAGCAAUGCCGCGUGAGUGAUGAAGGCCUUAGGGUUGUAAAGCUCUUUUACCCGGGAUGAUAAUGACAGUACCGGGAGAAUAAGCUCCGGCUAACUCCGUG